rnacentral:rRNA from 1 species
UACGAAGGGGGCUAGCGUUGCUCGGAAUCACUGGGCGUAAAGCGCACGUAGGCGGAUCUUUAAGUCAGGGGUGAAAUCCUGGAGCUCAACUCCAGAACUGCCUUUGAUACUGGGGAUCUCGAGUCCGGGAGAGGUGAGUGGAACUCCGAGUGUAGAGGUGAAAUUCGCAGAUAUUCGGAAGAACACCAGUGGCGAAGGCGGCUCACUGGCCCGGUACUGACGCUGAGGUGCGAAAGCGUGGGGAGCAAACAGG